rnacentral:rRNA from 1 species
GACGAACGCUGGCGGCGUGCUUAACACAUGCAAGUCGAACGGAAAGGCCCCUUCGGGGGUACUCGAGUGGCGAACGGGUGAGUAACACGUGGGUGAUCUGCCCUGCACUUCGGGAUAAGCCUGGGAAACUGGGUCUAAUACCGGAUAUGACCUCUUGGCGCAUGCCUUGUGGUGGAAAGCUUUUGCGGUGUGGGAUGGGCCCGCGGCCUAUCAGCUUGUUGGUGGGGUCACGGCCUACCAAGGCUCCGACGGGUAGCCGGCCUGAGAGGGUGUCCGGCCACACUGGGACUGAGAUACGGCCCAGACUCCUACGGGAGGCAGCAGUGGGGAAUAUUGCACAAUGGGCGCAAGCCUGAUGCAGCGACGCCGCGUGGGGGAUGACGGCCUUCGGGUUGUAAACCUCUUUCACCAUCGACGAAGGUCCGGGUUUUCUCGGAUUGACGGUAGGUGG